GAUGAAGAACGCAGUGAAAUGCGAUAAGUAAUGCGAAUUGCAGAAUCCGUGAGUCAUCGAAUCUUUGAACGCACAUUGCGCCCCUUGGUAUUCCAUGGGGCAUGCCUGUUCGAGCGUCAUUUGUACCUUCAAGCUUUGCUUGGUGUUGGGUGUUUGUCUCGCCUUUGCGUGUAGACUCGCCUUAAAAUAAUUGGCAGCCGGCGUAUUGAUUUCGGAGCGCAGUACAUCUCGCGCUUUGCACUCAUAACGACAGCGUCCAAAAGUACAUUUUACACUCUUGACCUCGGAUCAGGUAGGGAUACCCGCUGAACUUAAGCAUAUCAAUAAGCGGAGGA
rnacentral:misc_RNA from 1 species